GAUGAAGAACGUAGCGAAAUGCGAUAAGUAAUGCGAAUUGCAGAAUUCAGUGAGUCAUCGAAUCUUUGAACGCACAUUGCGCCCCUUGGUAUUCCGAAGGGCAUGCCUGUUCGAGCGUCAUUAUCACCCCUCAAGCCCUCGGCUUGGUGUUGGACGGUUUGGUGGAGGCCCCCUCGGGGGCUCCUGCCCCUCCCAAAGACAAUGACGGCGGCCUCGUUGGACCCCCGGUACACUGAGUUCUUCACGGGACACGUAUCGGACACAUGGGUUUACGGGACACGGUCUGCCUCCCCUCAGGGAGAAUCUUUCUAAGGUUGACCUCGGAUCAGGUAGGGAUACCCGCUGAACUUAAGCAUAUCAAUAAGCGGAGGA
rnacentral:misc_RNA from 1 species